GAUGAACGCUGGCGGCGUGCCUAACACAUGCAAGUCGAGCGAACAGACGAGGAGCUUUCUCCUCUGACGUCAUCGGCGGACGGGUGAGUAACACGUGGAUAACCUACCUAUAAGACUGGGAUAACUUCGGGAAACCGGAUCUAAUACCGGAUAAUAUAUUGAACCGCAUGGUUCAAUAGUUAAAUACGGUUUUGCUGUCACUUAUAGAUGGAUCCGCGCCGCAUUAGCUAGUUGGUAAGGUAACGGCUUACCAAGGCAACGAUGCGUAGCCGACCUGAGAGGGUGAUCGGCCACACUGGAACUGAGACACGGUCCAGACUCCUACGGGAGGCAGCAGUAGGGAAUCUUACGCGAUGGACGAGAGCUUGACAGAGCAACGCCGCGUGAGUGCUGAAGGUCUUCGGAUCGUAGAACUCUGUUGUUAGGAAAGAACAAAUGUGUAAGUAACUAUGCACGUCUUGACGGUACCUAAUCAGAAAGCCACGGCUAACUCCGUG
rnacentral:rRNA from 1 species